CAACUUUCAACAAUGGAUCUCUUGGUUCUCGCAUCGAUGAAGAACGCAGCGAAUUGCGAUAUGUAAUGUGAAUUGCAGAAUUCAGUGAAUCAUCGAAUCUUUGAACGCACCUUGCACCCUCUGGUAUUCUGGAGGGUAUGCCUGUUUGAGUGUCAUUA
rnacentral:rRNA from 1 species